UACGGAAGGUCUAAGCGUUAAUCGGAAUUACUGGGCGUAAAGCGCGCGUAGGUGGUUUAUUAAGUUGGGUGUGAAAGCCCCGGGCUCAACCUGGGAACUGCAUCCAAAACUGAUUCACUAUAGUACGAAAGAGGGAGGUAGAAUUCACAGUGUAGCGGUGGAAUGCGUAGAUAUUGUGAAGAAUAUCAAUGGUGAAGGCAGCCUCCUGGUUCUGUACUGACACUGAGGUGCGAAAGCGUGGGUAGCGAACAGGAUUAGAUACCCUGGUAGUCCACGCCGUAAACGAUGACUACUAUCUGUUGGGAAGCAAUGCUUUUCAGUGGCGCAACUAACGUAUUAAGUUGUCCGCCUGGGGAGUACGGCCGCAAGGUUAAAACUCAAAUGAAUUGACGGGGACCCGCACAAGCGGUGGAGCAUGUGGUUUAAUUCGAUGCAACGCGAAAAACCUUACCUACUCUUGACAUCCUUGGAAUCUCUUGUAAUGAGAGAGUGCCUUUUGGAACCAAGUGACAGGUGGUGCAUGGCUGUCGUCAGCUCGUGUCGUGAGAUGUUCCGUUAAGUCGGAUAGCGAGCGCAACCCUUACCCUUAUUUGCCAGCGGUUCGGCCGGGAACUAUAAGGGGACUGCCGGUGAUAAACCGGAGGAAGGGGAGGAAGACGUCAAGUCAUCAUGGCCCUUACGAGUAGGGUUACACACGCGCUACAACGGGAAGUACAGAGGGACGCCAAAGCGUGAGCUGGAGCUAAUCUCAUAAAACUUUUCGUAGUCCGGAUUGCAGUCUGCAACUCGACUGCAUGAAGUCGGAAUCGCUAGUAAUCGGGGAUCAGCACGCCGCGGUGAAUACGUUCUCGGGUCU
rnacentral:rRNA from 1 species